AUUUAUAUAGUUUAACCAAAACCUUACAUUUUCACUGUAAAAAUAAAGUCCUUUCUUUUAUAAGUU
rnacentral:tRNA from 1 species